rnacentral:rRNA from 1 species
AUACGUAGGGUGCGAGCGUUGUCCGGAAUUACUGGGCGUAAAGAGCUCGUAGGUGGUUUGUCGCGUCGUCUGUGAAAUUCCGGGGCUUAACUCCGGGCGUGCAGGCGAUACGGGCAUAACUUGAGUACUGUAGGGGAGACUGGAAUUCCUGGUGUAGCGGUGAAAUGCGCAGAUAUCAGGAGGAACACCGGUGGCGAAGGCGGGUCUCUGGGCAGUAACUGACGCUGAGGAGCGAAAGCAUGGGUAGCGAACAGGAUUAGAUACCCUGGUAGUCCAUGCCGUAAACGGUGGGCGCUAGGUGUAGGGGUCUUCCACGACUUCUGUGCCGUAGCUAACGCAUUAAGCGCCCCGCCUGGGGAGUACGGCCGCAAGGCUAAAAUUCAAAGGAAUUGACGGGG